rnacentral:rRNA from 1 species
GAUGAAUGCUGGCGGCGUGCCUAACACAUGCAAGUCGAGCGGUAAGGCCCUUCGGGGUACACGAGCGGCGGACGGCUGAGUAACGCGUGGGAAUUUGCCCCAAAGUGAGGAAUAACUGCCCGAAAGGGUAGCUAAUGCCGCAUAUGGUCUUCGGAUUAAAGGAUUUAUCCGCUUUGGGAGAAGCCCGCGUUGGAUUAGGUAGUUGGUGAGAUAAAAGCUCACCAAGCCAACGAUCCAUAGCUGGUCUGAGAGGAUGACCAGCCAGACUGGAACUGAGACACGGUCCAGACUCCUACGGGAGGCAGCAGUGAGGAAUCUUCCACAAUGGGCGAAAGCCUGAUGGAGCAACGCCGCGUGCAGGAUGAAGGCCUUCGGGUUGUAAACUGCUUUUAUGAGUGAAGAAUAUGACGGUAACUCAUGAAUAAGCACCGGCUAACUACGUG